rnacentral:lncRNA from 10 species
UGAUCAUCAAACUUGGGUUUUUACAUCAUUUAGGCACUUAUUCAUCCACUCAGUGUGCUAGACGCUUCAACAGGCACCAGCCAAAGUGUGAAAACCAAAUUGUGCAUCUACCUCUCCUUAACCAGCUGCAGGCCUCCUCACUUCUUGCCACAGCAAAGCAGCAGCAGCAAAACCCUUUGCUAGAAGAAAUGGGAAGCCUGGUAAGGCUUCUGAUAAGAUUGAUAAAGUAAGUUGUUCAUAAAACAUUCAUUAUUGCUAACCUGGGGCUUGCUUUAUCCAUACUUCUCACAUCAUUCCACUCUACCUUAUUUUUUAGAUGUUUAAGUACCUGCGUCUCUCCCUGUACUCCAUCAACUAAAAACUCCGUAAGAAUAAUACCAGGAUAAUAUUCAUGUUUAUUUCUUCACAUAGAAGAUGCUUUGUAAGGAUUCACUGACAUGAAUGAAAGGAAUGAACACAUACACACUCUCUCUCUCUUUGGAGGAAGAAAGGAAAGAUGAAAGAAUUCACUGUUCUUCCAAUAAAACUAAGUCCUCGCUACUGCCUGCAAGGCCCUACGUGACCCAGCCUUCUGCCCUCUCCCCUCUGUUCCCACACCCUCCACUACUCAUUAUGUUCCAGCCACACCUACAGUCUUUCUAACCCCAAUGAGCUAGUCCUGCCUUAAAGCUUUUAGAAUUGCUGACCUCUCUCCUGAAAUCUUUUUCUUAAAACUCUCUUCGCCUAAAUCUAAACGGGCCUAGCUUGUACCUUCUCUCUUUUUUUCUGCCAUUCAGGUCAAAUGCCAUCUCACAAGGACAUUCUGAUGGUCCAACUCCCAGUCACUGUCCAUUCAUUACCCUCUCUUACUUCCUAGGAAGAACUAACACUCUCUGAAAUGAUCUUAUUGUUAUGCUCCUGCGUUUAUGAUCUGUCCCAAUAGAAUGUAAUCUCUCAAAGAAGGUGGUGCUAUCCUGUUCAUGGCAAUGUCACCAGCACUGAAAACAAUAGGAGAUGUGCAGUAAAUAUCUAUUAUUUUUUUUACUUUCCCUUCUUUUCACAGGUGAUGACCUAUUAAAUUCAUUUUAAAGACUUGUGUUAGUCACUGAUCUGGCUGGAGGGCCGAAUCAAGGGUGUAUAGAUCACCCUGUUGUAAUCUUCAGAUCCAGACUAAAAGGCCCCAACAGGUAGCAUGGUAUCAGACCUAUUAGAGCACUCAGUGGAAGCUGACUGAAUGAACAAGCAAACAAAUGGAAGGUGAAAGAAUGAAUAUCUCUCUUAUGUCUGUGUCUGACAUUUGAGGACCUGUUGGUGGUUUCAGUUAAACUGGCCUGAGUACUAUGUGAAUAUGAACUCCUUGUUGCCUUGCCCUCUCCUAUACUAGUGAACAGAUGGUCCCGGAAUCUCCUGAUUACUUGAAAUUAAAACAAGAAUGCCCAUUCCUGGAGACUGUGCAAGAAUCCAAAAUGACCACGUGGGUACAAUAAACCCUUCCAAAGCAGCUCUAUCUCCUCAUCUGAAAGGCGGCCUUGUGAAGAAGGUGCUUGCUUCGUCUUUGCCUUCUGCCAUGACAGUAAGUUUCCUGAGGCUUCCCCAGCCACGCGGAACUGUGAGUCAAUUAAACGUCUUUUCUUUAUAAAUUACCCAAUAUCAGGUAGUUCUUUAUACCAGUGUGAAAACAAACUAAUACAACCCUUAAAAUCAAACCUGUCAUCCUAAACAACUACAGCCAUUCCAUACAUUCUGUAAAGAGAACUCAACCCACCUCUGAGGGCUAAGCUAAGUUUUGCUUUUCUCUGGGAUGCUCAUUCUCUGCACCUAAUCAGUAGAAUCCUUGAUGGUCCCACACCAUCUGGCACUAAGUUACUAUGAGUACCCACAGUUCUAAGUGACCAUUAAUGUUCCAGAAAUCAACUACCAUUUGUUAAGAGGUCCAACCUUUGCCUCUUGGAAGAAACAUAGCCUAUCACGCGGCAAGCUACCAUCUUGAGAGGUGUAAAGCCACGGCUACAAACACAAGCUUUGAGGUCAUAGAGACCUGUGUCACUGCUUGGCUACCACACACUGACUGUGUGACCCUGGUCAAGUUAGUCACUCUCUCUGAUACUAAAGGUACUGUUAACACCUUUCUCAUAUAAUACCUGGCACAGACAUGUGUUUGCUUCUUUUCCUCCUUUCCCCAAUGGUCCUCAGAGUCUGAUUUUGGUUCAUUCUUGUCUCUUUUCUCCCCAGUAUUGAUGAUGAUAAAAUGACAAUGUGACAUUGCCAUUAAUCUUAUAUCAUCUUAUAUAAUCAACACAGUAACUUAUAAGAAGGUUUCUAUUACCUAUGUUUGACAGAUAAGAAAAUUGAACAUCAGAAUGGCCCUAAGAUAUGCAGCUAAUAAGAGAGCCAGGAUUCCAAAGCAGGUCUUCCUGAUCUCAAGGUCUAUAUUCAUAACCAUGUUGCUCUCCAACCCUUCAACCUGACACAAUGGGGUUCAAAAGAUGGAGGACCCUUAAAAAAAAACAACAACAAGGAUUCAGUCAUCAGGCCACUAGACAAUCAGUUUCAAAGACCUUUUUCUUCCCAUUCCAGGAGGCUCUAUGUAAAACAGCUAAAGAGUAGUUGAGAUAAAAAGCAAAGUGGGAAGGAGUCAACUUGCAGGUCACUGGGGUUGUGCCACCCAAGCAGGUCAGACGUGAGCUGCACAUCAGCCAUUUCACAUAGGUCUAUCUGCUAAAUACUUUGCUCAGCAUAGUGAGUGUCAGUUAAAACCACAGAGGGGCUUUCCACUUAGCUUCAGGCACACCCUGGGAACCACAGCUUUUGUGGACUUCACAAAUUGAAAACUAGUCUUGACAAUGAGCAUCAUUUUCACUAAAACUGAUCGCUGGCAUGUGUACCUGCAUACAGAAAAUAGGCUUAAUAUAAAUAACCAACCACAACACCACGUGGAGAUGCACAGGCUUGUGAAAGCUUCCAGGUGCCCUUUAAAAUACUGGUGACUUACUGAAAAACACCACUGAGAGUGACUGAUUGGUAGAAAAAUCCUUGAAAAGAAUUAGUGGGCCUAUCUGUGGCAUCAGGAAAGAAAAUAGGAGCUUACUUAUCAAAGAGGAAUAGUUUAUCUACCUGGUAUUUCUAAUCCUAACUCUGGCCCAUUGAGAGGUCACUCAAGCAUUCAGUCUGUGCUGAGGAAUGUGGCGGGUGCCGGGGGGGUUGGAGGGGGGAGUGCGGAAUGAACAGGCAGAUACGGCUCCUACAUCUACAAAGACCUGUACCUCCAGGCAUCAAGUCUGUUCUAGGUGUGGGGAUACCUGGUGAAGACAAGAAUGUUCUCUUCUUCAAGGUGGAGUAGACAGAGAACAACCACGUGCAUGCCAACAUUCUGAGAAAACAGGCCCUUGUUGUUAAGAAGCAUCAGGGAGAUCAGAUGCCUGAAACAAGUGGCCACAGGAGGGAUGAAGAGAUACACUGGGACCCAUCACACAGGGAGGAAAGGGCCAUGUUGUAGAGCCAUCUUGCUGGCCCUGCACCCCAGGGUGUAGGAGAAGAUCUAGAUGUGCCCAGUGUACAGAAACUGGAACCUACCAUCUAAAUUUGACUGCCCCUCAGAUGUCUCUGGUUCUCAGCUUCCUGACCUGCAAAUGUGCAAGACUACACCAAUCUGCAGUCUCUUCUGGCUCUGAUUUCUGAAAAUCACGUAUUUUCAAAUCCUAGGAACAUUAUUCUUCUCUCUUAGCAUGCUAGAUUUCCUUUUAAAUGAAAGAAAUUUUAAUUUAAAAAAAAGUAACACAAAUAGCAUCAACAUGGAAAUAUAUUUGGGAAAGUAUCUGAUAUUCAAGAUUUCCAUGCAAUUAAAAAGAUAGGCCAUAGUGUCAGGCUCAGAUUCUAAUUCCAGCCAUUUCGGUGUCCCUAUUUUGCAUCCUCUGACCUCCAAGAGAUAUUCUGAAAAGUCUACCUUGAAUUUACUACUCAAAGACUUCAUCAAUCUAAGAAGACAUGCAUUAAUAAUGCCUUUUUGGAGAUGAAGAAAUUAAGUCAGAAAGUAGGGAUCCAGGGCCAAAAAACUAGUAAACGGAAAAAUCAGGAUUUUAACCCUGGAAAGCUUAACUCCAAAGUCUGUGCUUUCUGCCAUGUCUGACUGCUUCUCCAACUAAAAAACAUGUUUUAUUCUACUUUUUGUCACGUCCAAGUAUGGCGCAUGCUAAGCUUACUAUAGUUGCUUCAUGUUCCUAGUUUCUGAGAACAGAAGUUUGAAGGGAAUACAAGUGGUAAGCCAUUGGUGACUUCUCCACUUCAAUUAUGAGUUUAGACCCAAUUGUUUAUUCAUCAAAACAAACCUCAGAGCUGCCAACCACAGAUCUGGUCAUUGUGGGUUUUGUUUUGUUUUAUUUUUUAAUAAGGAGAGAAAGACCUAAUUUGGCAGAGGAGACCAAGAAGCCCGGGCUAUACAUUUGCAUAAAGAUGAUUACUAAAACUGAAGAAUUGCUUCUCAUAAAAAAAACUGAUGGAGUUAAAAAAAAAUCCAAAUGAAUUAAACCAGCAGUUCCUACCCUGUGAUUUGUAGAAAACUGUUUCUGAGAGAUGCUGGAAAGUAUUCUGGAGAAAACAAUUAAUCUGUUUACCAUUUGUAAAAUGGUAAAUUUGGAAAAUACUACAUUCUAACGAUAUCUUUUUCCUGGAGAUACUGAAUGCACGUCAGGCUAUCAAAGACUGGAAUGUUUUAAAGAAACAUGUUUAACUCUAUACUCCAACAAUUCCCAACAAAGAUAAAGUAAAUAAUUAAAUAACUAAUUACAAUCAGAAUACCUAGUUUUGUUUUUAUUUUUGCACACCUGCAGAACAAUGUUUUUUGGAACACCAAUAUAG